CGUAAGUGACGGAGGCAGGAUUGCAACCCAGACAGUCUGUCCCAGCCUCCGUGGGCUUAAACAUCCUGCUUGACAUACAGAAGACUUCAGGAAAUGUCUAGGGGAUGAGUGAAUCUCCCUUCAAGAGUGGCCACGAGCCCUUUGCAGAUAUACGCAUGGAUUAACUUGUCAAAAUUUUAUCAGAGGGAAAAAGAAGGAAGAGGAGAAAGAAGAGGAAAGUCAAUGUUGUCAUUGUCAUUUUACAGGUAAGGAACCUGGGGUGCAAAGAGGUUCAGUGAUGUUUUCCUGGGCAGCACAGCUAAUAAACAUCCCCACACUAAUUCAUACUAAGCCCAUCUGACUCCCGAAGCCCACAGUCUUGAACGCAGAGGAGUUUCCUCUUUAAAAUGUAAGAACCCACUGUCACAAAGUACAUCUGAUCUUUUAAAGCGAGAACCGAGAACCGGGAAGGAAGCUGGUGGAAACAUUGUCCAUAUUCAUGAUAUGUGGUUAAAAAAAAAAAAAAAGAUUUAUUUGUUCGUAGAAAUUUCAUAACGCUGGCCAUGGAUUCACGUGAUUUAGGGGUCUGUGGGUCUAAAGCAAAUGGG